rnacentral:sRNA from 1 species
UCAAAAAAAAAGCGAAAUUAGGACUGUAAAAACUUUAUAGAAUUUUUAAAAUGAAUAGAAGCGAAAUCUUGGCCUUGCGAAAGAAAGAGAUCCUUUGGAAGUGGUCGGAAUUGCAAUUGUGUUUGACUGGAUUCAAAGAGGAACCGCAAGAGAGAUUUUUAACGUUCUUUGGAAUGAAUAACAAUAAACGGACUAAAUUGGCAUUAGGAUCUAAAGAGGUACAUCAAGGACUGAAAAUGCUUUACUAAAGAAGUUUGAGAUAGCAGCAUUUCAUCGAAAAAAGUGCAAGCAGCAAAGAGAUUUUU